rnacentral:lncRNA from 1 species
UGAAAAUUUGUUUUUCCUUAGUGGUAUGCUUUAUUAACGCUGUACUUAGAAUAUAGGAUAAGUAGCUUACUGGCACAGAUUCGUGAUUAGAAAUACACAUAGGCGAGCAGAUCUUUGUGCUUGUGAAAGUGGUAAGAAAUGGAUAUAGCAGUUUCAAAGUCCAAAUACUGUAUGGUUCCGAAGGAGGAUAUGGAUAGUUUUCUGAAUUACCUAAAAGCCUCCCUGAGGCAAGCAGAAGACGUGAAAAGCCAUAUAUUCAAAACUCACCCUUCUUUAGACGAAAUGUCGUUAGAA